UCGAACGCUGGCGGCGUGCUUAACACAUGCAAGUCGAGCGAGAAGUGGAGCACUCCUGGUACCAGUCGGCGUACGGGUGAGUAACACGUGGGAUCAACCUCCUUUAGCUUCGGGGAAUAACUCCGGGAAACCGGGGAUUAAUACCGCAUAUAGCCACGCCGACUCGCAUGGUGGAAAGAGCAAUUUGCGGCAGAGAGAUGGAGCUCGCGGCCUAUCAGCUAGUUGGUGAGGUAAGCGCCUACCAAGGCGAACGACGGGUAGCCGGCCUGAGAGGGCGACCGGCCACACUGGACUGAGACAACGGCCCAGACUCCUACGGGAGGCAGCAGUGGGGAAUAUUGCGCAAUGGGCGAAAGCCCUGACUGCAGCGACGCCGCGUGAGGGAUGAAGGCCUUCGGGUUGUAAAGCCCCUUUCAGCAGGGACGAAGCGAGAUUGACGGUACCUGCAGAAGAAGCGCCGGCUAACUACGUGCCAGCAGCCGCGGUAACACGUAGGAGCGCAGCGUUGUCCGGAAGUUAUUGGGCGUAAAGAGGCUCGUAGGUGGUUUGUUACGUCUGCUGUGAAACCUAGGGCUUAACCCGGGGGCUGCAGUGGAAUACGGCAGACUAGAGGUAGUAGGGGAGGAAGUGGAAUUCUGGUGUAGCGGUGAAAUGCGCAGAUAUCAGGAGGAACACCGGUGGCGUAGGCGGUUCUCUGGGCCUUACCUGACAUUGAGGAGCGAAAGCGUGGGGAGCGAACAGGAUUAGAUACCCUGGUAGUCCACGCCGUAACGUUGGGCGCUAGGUGUGGGGUCCUUCCACGGAUUCCGUGCCGCAGCUAACUGCAUUAAGCGCCCCGCCUGGGGAGUACGAGCCGCAAGGCUAAAACUCAAAGGAAUUGACGGGGGCCCGCACAAGCGGCGGAGCAUGUUGCUUAAUUCGACGCAACGCGAAGAAACCUUACCAAGGUUUGACAUACAGGGAAAAGCCGUAGAGAUAUGGUGUCCGUAAGGGUCCUGUACAGGUGGUGCAUGGCUGUCGUCAGCUCGUGUCGUGAGAUGUUGGGUUAAGUCCCGCAACGAGCGCAACCCUCGUUCUAUGUUGCCAGCGGAUAAUGCCGGGGACUCAUAGGAGACUGCCGGGGUCAACUCGGAGGAAGGUGGGGAUGACGUCAAGUCUCAUGCCCCUUAUAUCUUGGCUGCAAACAUGCUACAAUGCCGGUACAGAGGGCUGCGAAAUCGCAAGAUGGAGCGAAUCUCAAAAAGCCGGUCUCAGUUCGGAUUGGGGUCUGCAACUCGACCCCAUGAAGUCGGAGUCGCUAGUAAUCGCGAAUCAGCAACGUCGCGGUGAAUACGUUCCCGGGCCUUGUACACACCGCCCGUCACGUCACGAAGUCGGCAACACCCGAAGCCGGUGGCCUAACCCGUAAGGGAGGGAGCCGUCGAAGGUGGGGCCAGCGAUUGGGACG
rnacentral:rRNA from 1 species